rnacentral:rRNA from 1 species
UUCCGGUUGAUCCCGCCGGACCCCACUGCUAUCGGGAUAGGACUAAGACAUGCUAGUCGAGUGACUCAGGCAAAACGAGUCACGGCACACAGCUCAGUAACACGUGGCUAAUCUGCCCUUGGGAUGAGAACAGCCCCGGGAAACUGGGGCUAACUCUCGAUAGGUGAAGAACUCUGGAAUGAGUCUUUGCCUAAAUAACUUCACGUUAUCCUCGUGAAGUCGCCCAAGGAUGAGGCCGCGACCGAUCAGGUUGUUGGCGAGGUAAUGGCUCACCAAGCCUUUUACCGGUGC